rnacentral:rRNA from 1 species
AGCGAACGCUGGCGGCAGGCUUAACACAUGCAAGUCGAGCGGGCAUCCUUGUGGUGUCAGCGGCAGACGGGUGAGUAACGCGUGGGAACGUGCCCUUCGGUUCGGAAUAACUCAGGGAAACUUGAGCUAAUACCGGAUACGUGCGAGAGCAGAAAGGUUUAUCUGCCGAAGGAUCGGCCCGCGUCUGAUUAGCUAGUUGGUGAGGUUAUGGCUCACCAAGGCGACGAUCAGUAGCUGGUCUGAGAGGAUGAUCAGCCACACUGGGACUGAGACACGGCCCAGACGCCUGGGGUACACAGCAGGGGGGAUAAUUGAACAAGGGGCGCAGCCGUGAUCCAGCCAUGCCGGGUGAAGGGUGAGGACUUGGGGGUUGGAAAUCUCUUUUUUCAGGGCCAUAAGGGAGGGUACGGGGGAAGUAAGCCCCGGCUAUCUGUUAC